rnacentral:rRNA from 1 species
CGCAACCCCUGCAUCCAGUUGCCAUCGGGCGAGCCGGGCACUCUGGAGGGACUGCCGGCGACAAGCCGGAGGAAGGUGGGGAUGACGUCAAGUCAUCAUGGCCCUUAUGUCCAGGGCGACACACGUGCUACAAUGGCCGGCACAGCGGGAAGCGGAGGGGCGACCCUGAGCGGAUCCCUUGAAAGCCGGUCCCAGUUCGGAUUGCAGUCUGCAACUCGACUGCAUGAAGUUGGAAUCGCUAGUAAUCGCCGGAUCAGCCAAGCCGCGGUGAAUACGUUCCCGGUCUU